GUGACACCCAAGUAAGCUCAAGCAAAGGGAAGGGAGCAACAAAGGAUUAGAAGAAUUAAAAUUAGUUUUGACAAAACAUUUACAUCUGUCGCACUAGCAUUGUGUCAGGUUGUUGUCCCAAGUUGAUUGGAUGAGCAAAAAUAUUCGACUGAAGGCCUGCAUUAUAAGAAUAUGGGAAUUUCUGAAUAUCUCAAACCCUAAAGAAUUAUUUAGUCUAGAGUUCUUGAUGUUGGAUG